rnacentral:lncRNA from 1 species
UCACCCAGGUGCAAGCCCAGAGGCAGUCUAUACCCCAACUCAACUGGCUGGUCCUCAGUGCUGCCUGCUUCCGUGCCCAACUUAGAACUACACAUCUACUGCCUCUUGGUAACAUGUCAUUAUGAGUCUGAAGAUUGCCAUUUGAAAUGCUCUUUGAGAGACGUAAAGUCAACGCUGGAUCCAAAGUAGCUUUGAUAUUUGUCAGGAAAAUGCUGGAGUUCUAUACACUGCAGUUUCUACAAAGCAUGAAGAACUCCAACUUCAGACAACCUACAAAAAAAGUCAGAGAGCAAUUAAAUGUAAAAAUAAAUUCCUUUGAUAAAACAAA